ACGGGUGAGUAAUGCUUAUCUACUUGCCAAUUAGUGGGGGAUUAAAUACCGCAUAUUCUAGUUUCGGCUAGGAAAGAGUUCCAUUUGGGCUCGCUAGUUGAGAGGGAUAAGGCGUAUCAGCCGAUGAAAGUGGGGUAAUGGCCUACUGAGGCAAUGACGCGUAGCCGGCCUGAGAGGGUGAUCGGCCACAAGGGAACUGAGACACGGUCCCUACUCCUACGGGAGGCAGAAGGAGGAAACAUCUCGCAAUGGACGCAAGUCUAACGGAGUGAUACUACGUGAAGGAUGAAGGUAACGAAAGUUAUUGUAAACUUCUUUACUAGAGGGUACUGCUUUUAGAGCUUGCCCUUUGGCAAAAAGCCACGACUAACUAUGCUGCCAGCAGUCGCGGUAAUACAUAGGUGGCGAACGUUAUCCGGAAUUACUGGGCGUAAAGGGUGCGUAGGUGGUUGAAUAAGUUACUGGUGGUAAAUCAGGGCUCAACCCUGUGGAAGUCAGUAAUACUAUCCAACUCGAGGGCUGGAGAGGUUAACGGAAUUCUAUGUGUAGCGGUAAAAUGCUCAAAUAUAUAGAGGAACACCAAUUGGCGAAAGCAGUUAACUAUUCAGUUCCUGACAUUGAGGCACGAAAGCGUGGGGAGCAAUACGGAUUAGACACCCGAGUAGUCCACGCCCUAAACGAUGAGUACUAGAUAUUGGAAACUCGAUUUUCAGUGUCGCAAGGUAACCCGGUAAGUACUCCGCCUGGGUAGUACGGUCACAAGACUAAAACUCAAAGGAAUUGACAGCGAUUCACACAAGCAGUGGAGCAUGUGGUUCAAUCCGAUACGACACGCAGAACCUUACCAAGAUUAUUAGUAGUGCGAAGCCGGAAGAGACUCUGGCAGAGGUUAUCAUUACUAUGAAGGUGUUGCAUGGCCAUCGUCAGUUCGUGUUGUGAAACGUAUGGUUAAGUCCUAUUAACGAACGAAACCCUCGUGCCUAGUUGCUAACAGGUAAUGCUGAGGACUCUAGGCAGACUGCCAAGGUAACUGGGAGGAAGGAGAGGAUCAAGUUCGGUCGUC
rnacentral:rRNA from 1 species